CAUUGACUUUUCAAAGCUUAUUAUAAUUUGAAUUUGAUUGCUCUAAUCUUCAAACUUUGAAUUCUUUUGGUUGAUGCGGUCGUCUUCAUCAAAACUAUAACCAAAAGAACUCUUCUUCACAUUCUCCCCUUUUUUGAUGAUAACAAAACAUCAAUUUAAAAUUUACUUGUUCAUCAAUGAGUUGCUUCAAUAUGUGAGUUUUUG
rnacentral:lncRNA from 1 species